AUCGGACUGACUUACAAUCAACUGCAGACGGGAGUAGGAGAGAAAGAGGAGGAAGAGACGAAGGGUGAAAGCGAUACUAAGAGUCGACGAUAAAAAAGAGCUUAGUAACCCACCAAGGAGGAAAGAGAAAGCCUCUGAGGAGCUAAAGAGAUUCUCACUUUAGACCCCUUCUAAUCUCGAUUGAAAAGA
ncrna:unclassified sequences IMES-1 RNA motif